GGGGCGGUAGCUCAGUUGGUCAGAGCAGCGGACUCAUAAUCCGCCAGCCGCGGGUUCGAGCCCCGCCCGCCCCA
rnacentral:tRNA from 2 species